GGAUGUGUGGGCGAUCUGGCUGUGACAUCUGUCACCCAUUGAUUGCCAGGGUUGAUUGGCUGAUCUGGCCGGCUAGGCGAGUGUCCCCUACCUCCCUCCCCGCUCCAUGUGAGUCCCUACCAAAGCUGCACGCUCAGUCGAAGAGGAUGGUUGAGGGUAUACGAGUAGCUGCGCUCCCCUGCUAGAACCUCCAACAAGCUCUCAAGAAUAGGGAGUUUCCUGUGGUUGGGUGGUAGCGCAGUGGGUUAAGCACACGCAGUGUGAAAGU
rnacentral:snRNA from 1 species